CUGUGCGGCGGACGGGUGAGUAACGCGUGGGUAACCUGCCUCAUACAGGGGGAUAACAGUUGGAAACGGCUGCUAAUACCGCAUAAGCGCACAGUACCGCAUGGUACGGUGUGAAAAACUCCGGUGGUAUGAGAUGGACCCGCGUCUGAUUAGGUAGUUGGUGGGGUAACGGCCUACCAAGCCGACGAUCAGUAGCCGACCUGAGAGGGUGACCGGCCACAUUGGGACUGAGACACGGCCCAA
rnacentral:rRNA from 1 species